CUAAAGUGCAUCAUGCAGACCUCACGAGUUAAUGGAUUAACGAGUGGGGUCUUCGCAUUUCU
rnacentral:misc_RNA from 1 species